AUUAGAUAAGCAAAACCUUUCAAUAUUCCUAAUAAACAAUAUUGGAAACCCAUAGAGAAAUAAACAUUCUCAUAUAUUGUUGAUAGAGGCAUACAUGGAGUAUUUUGAGAUCCAACCAUUAGUGUUGAAGGUUUUCUUGGUUUUCUAGAAAAAUAGCCGAAGGUGUUACUCUAUUAUGUAGAGUAUUUCUGAAGAGUUAUAAUUCUAGUAUUUGAUAAUUUUAUUCUGUAGGCGAGUUUUUUUUUUAUAAAAUGCAUUCCUAUUGCCUUAGUAAUAUAGAUUAUUUGGUAAUUACACUAAAAUAAAAUCUUGAGAACAAAUUUGGAAAGUUUAGAAGAUCAUACCCAACAUGAUCUCUCUUUUGCCUCCCCCAACACCCCUCCAAAAAUCCCCAUAUUUUUUACUUUUUUCUUUCUAUCUGUGUUCAUCUCUAGAAUAGCCCUAUCACCAUAGAUCUCUGUACACUAAAAAGAGAAGAUAUCUUACAAGUGAAUAAGUAUGUUGGUUUACUUAUAGAUUACUAGUCCAAGAAAUUCAAUAUAUAUUUUAUAUACUUUGCCAACAUUUCAAAACUGGUACUGUUCACAUAAAAAUCCAUAUUUCUGUCCAUACCUCAGGUUGUUGUGUAUGUCCAUAGGGAAUCAAUAGAUUGAAGCUGAGGAGCAGCCGGACACAUUAAAAGGAGGUGUACUCUAGAUGGCUAGUCCCACCUAGUCCACCUUACUCUAGUUGUUAAUCUACAUGUCAGUUUAUGUGCAGUUUCAGAUUUUACUUGUGGUUUCCUUAGACUUUCUCAACCUUGGCACCAUUGCUCUUCAGGGCUGGGUGGGUCUUUGUUGUAGGAGCUGCCCUAAAAUAUGACAGUUUUAAACAGGCAUACUUGUUCAGUUAACUUCUUCCUGUGGAUACAUGGUCUGACCCCUCUAUCUAAUAUUUAAACAGUCUCAAUGCAAUGACAUGACAACAACUGUAUUGUUUUGAAAGUGAUUUCUGCUAGAAUCCAUAGUCCCUUUGCUUUAUUUUAGACCAUACUGCUUCAGAUGUUUUUAGUUAUGGUUUAUGAAUCAUGCUUGACAUCAAGGUUCAGAUUAUUAGGUUAAGUAAAAAGCAAUUUGAAAAUGGCUCAGUGGUGGCAAAAAUAAGAUGUUUAUGCAGGAAUGUAAAUUAUGUAGGAUCAUAAGGUUGUACAGAGUCAGCAGCAGCUGUUUUGGGGGAAAAAAUUGACUGCAUAUCAAUUGGGUUCAUUAAAUGGAUUUCUAUCUCAAGUGCAGAAUUUGCCUAAUCCUGUUCAAAUCAUUAUUCAUCUCUGACAAGAUAAAAAAUUUACCAAAGAAAGAAGGUUAAAAAUGUUUUUUCUACUUAAUCUCUCUGCCUUUGGGUUUAGACAAGUAUAUGACAAUCAAAGCGCUACACUAAGUACUGUGGAGUCCGCAGAGCACCCCCUUUCAAGAGGCUGAUGGUGAAGGGAGCAGGAAGGCAGUAAGAAGCCUUGGUGGUGAGAUUGUGCUUCUCCCCUCCCAAGUCUUUUGAAGGAAUUUAAGAAAAAAGGCAUUGAAGAGUAUCCUCUUGUGGCUUUUACCCUCUUGUAGUCAGCCUAACUGCCGCGUCUGCCGUGCCUGCCUCCUAAGGAAAUUUUCUACAUCCACAGUCUUUUGUGUUUGGUUAGCCCUAUUUUACAUCUCCUGAAAAACCUCCAUAGCAACCACAGCCGAUUGGAUCAGGGCUGGGCAUGUGACCCAAGAACAUCCAAUUCCUAACAGGGACUUAUGACGUUGUCCUGAACCUAAAAGAUCAACUAGACCAAACAUCUUUCUUCUUGAGUAUUUAAUUUAGGAAGUAUAUAAUGAAAGUUGAAGUUAAUAAACUACAGAGAGAAAUGGGCCAUGAGGCAGAGUCCAAGUCUUAAGAUAGACUCAAAGCUAUAAGGUGUUAUGCUAAACUAAUGUUAUGAAAAAGAAAGACAUCAAUGAGUAUACAGAAACUGAAAUUUAGAACAAAUAUAUUCAGAAUAGAGAAAAAAAUAACCCAUAUAUUGGCAAUGCAAUGUGGAAUAGGAAAAAAGCCUAUUUUUGAAUUCCACCUCUCUCCUUUCACUAGAAUUAUUGUGAUGAUUCCAGCAAAAGGUAUUACUGUACAAUGGUUAAGUAUGCUGGCUGUGAAAUCAGGCAGCCUGGGUUCGAAUCACAGCUUUACUCUUUAAUAGCUGAAUGUUCAUGGUUGUACACGUUACAAAACUCUCUGCAAUUUUCUUCUUCCUCACAAUUUGGAGAGAAUAAAGCUGGAAGAAAUCAUUUUAGAAAGAAUUCUUGUCUUCAUGGGUGAGCUUCUAGAUAAGCUCACCUUCUUUUGUUCCAAGCUCUCAGUGUUGUCUGUUUCCUCAUUACUCUUUCAACUUCUGAGUAUCAUAAAAACAAAAACAAACAAAAAAUCACCCCCAAAUAAAAAAC
rnacentral:lncRNA from 1 species